CCUACGGGGGGCAGCAGUGGGGAAUAUUGGACAAUGGGGGGAACCCUGAUCCAGCCAUGCCGCGUGUGUGAAGAAGGCCCUCGGGUUGUAAAGCACUUUCAGUGAGGAAGAACGCCUGGUGGUUAAUACCCAUCAGGAAAGACAUCACUCACAGAAGAAGCACCGGCUAACUCCGUGCCAGCAGCCGCGGUAAUACGGAGGGUGCGAGCGUUAAUCGGAAUUACUGGGCGUAAAGCGCGCGUAGGUGGCUUGAUAAGCCGGUUGUGAAAGCCCCGGGCUCAACCUGGGAACUGCAUCCGGAACUGUCAAGCUAGAGUGCAGGAGAGGAAGGUAGAAUUCCCGGUGUAGCGGUGAAAUGCGUAGAGAUCGGGAGGAAUACCAGUGGCGAAGGCGGCCUUCUGGACUGACACUGACGCUGAGGUGCGAAAGCGUGGGUAGCAAACAGGAUUAGAUACCCUUGUAGUC
rnacentral:rRNA from 1 species